rnacentral:misc_RNA from 1 species
GAUGAAGAACGCAGCGAAAUGCGAUAAGUAAUGUGAAUUGCAGAAUUCAGUGAAUCAUCGAAUCUUUGAACGCACAUUGCGCCCCCUGGUAUUCCGGGGGGCAUGCCUGUUCGAGCGUCAUUUCAACCCUCAAGCUCUGCUUGGUAUUGGGCGUCGCCGGGGAGUCUCCCCGGCGUGCCUCAAAGCCAUCGGCGGUGGUGCCUUUCUCUAAGCGUGGUAGAAUUUUUAUUCGCUUCUGAGUUGGGCUUCGCCUGCCGGACAAACCGGGCCCUCGCGGCACACCUUCUCAGGUUGACCUCGGAUCAGGUAGGGAUACCCGCUGAACUUAAGCAUAUCAAUAAGCGGAGGA